AUGAGAGGAAUUUAAGGGCAAAUAUAUUUAUAUAUAUAUUUGUGUAAAGCCUCGAUUUUUUUCUAAUUUAGUUUAAUUAAUUUAAUAUAAUUAUUGAAUACUAUGUUUUAGAAAAACCUAUAGUUUUCAUUUUCUUGAAUCUGAAGGAAUAAUAAAAAGGCUCCACUUUGAAACCUAAGCUCUUUACAAAUCUAUCGAUCUUUCUCCUGUUUUUUUCUUAAUUUUUUAAAAUUUUAUUUUUUGGUUGAGGUUUCUUCAGGGUUUCUUCUUCUCUAUGGUUCACACUUGUUGUGUUCACACCAUAUCCACAUAAAUCUUUCCUGGUUUUUUUUUUGUCUCUAUCUUUUUCUUUCUUUUUUCCUUUUCUGGAUCAGCAAUCUUUUGUUGGGUGCAAAAGAAAAAAAAACUUAAUAAUUUCAGGGGAUUUGUCUGGUUUUGCGUUUAAUAGUUGUUUAUGGAGGGACAUCAUCGCCAUCAUCAUCAUCAUCAGCAGCAACAUCUGCAGCAACAACAACAGCCUGUAAGUGUCAACGUUGAAGCUGAUAGGUUUCCUCAAUGGAGUGUUCAAGAGACAAAGGAUUUUUUAAUGAUCAGAGCAGAGCUGGAUCAAAGUUUCAUGGAGACCAAAAGGAACAAGCUGCUUUGGGAAGUUAUCUCCACCAGGAUGAGGGAAAAAGGUUAUAAUCGAAGCGCUGAACAGUGCAAGUGCAAGUGGAAAAACCUCUUUACUCGUUACAAGGGAUGUGGAACGGUUGACGCAGAAACUGUGCGGCAACAGUUCCCGUUUUACGACGAGUUGCAGGCUAUAUUCACGGCGAGGAUGCAAAGUGUUCUAUGUUCGGAAAGUGAAGGCGGAGGAGCUACCGGGUCAAAAAAAAAGGCAGCACAGGCGCAGCUAUCUUCCGACGAGGAAGACGAUACGGAGGAAAACGAGUACAGCUUUAGGAAGAAGAAGAAAGGGAAAACUGGUGGUGGGAGUAGUAGUAAGAGCGGCAGCAUUAAUAUAAAGGAAAUGUUAGAGGACUUCAUGAGACAACAGUUGCAGAUGGAAAUGCAAUGGAGGGAAGCUUUGGAGUCGAGAGAAAACGAGAGGCGGAUGAAGGAAAUGGAGUGGAGGCAAACCAUGGAAGCCCUUGAAAACGAGAGGAUAAUGAUGGAGAGAAGAUGGAGGGAAAGGGAAGAACAAAGGAGAAUAAGGGAAGAAGCUAGGGCUGAGAAGAGAGAUGCUCUCAUUACUGCACUUUUAAACAAGCUUAGAAGAGAAGAUCAAAUGUAGUGCAACUCCCAAAGAUUCACUCGAGUCUCCCCAGCAGUCUCAUUUUAUGGAUGACCUAGGCGACCAUGAACAAAAAAGGCUCCAAGGUCUAGAUAUAUGUUGGUGGUAGUUGAAGAAAUUAAAACAAUUAAUCUACAGCAAUCGAUCCACAAACGAUAGUGUUUCCAGGUAAUGCUUAUCAAAGUGAAUAUUCUAUCUAUAUAUGGAACAAAUAUACAUAGAUUUGUAGUGGACACUGUUGAAAAUGCUCCAUUAUUCUUGUUAAUGCCUCUCAACUUCUUCAAAGUGUGGCACCUUUCACUUACAUAUAUAUCUGCAUGUCUACAUUCAUACAUAUAUAUAUACAUGCACAUUCAUGAACGCAUGUGUGGGAGCUUCAGCAGCUAGAUUUUCAUUUUUCUUACAAUAAGAAAUUGUUUCAUGGGUUUCCAUCAACCCUAAAGUGGUUUGAAGGAUAUUAGUACUUUUUGAAUUACAUUAAUAUCGACCUUAGGGAUGUCAAAACAUGUGGUUGACUUUCUUGGAUUAGAUGCCUGGUGCCUUGUGCAUUUUCUGAUGUAUUACAUAUAUAUAUAUAUAUAUAUAUACAUAUGAACCAUACUCUCUAGAUUGUAUUCCCACUACACAAACUAAAAGAUGUCAUUGAAAAAGAUGAAAGGCUCCUAUCUUAAUGGAGAGUAGGUGGAGAUGGAAUGAGUCUUACUCAUUAAAUAAAGUUUUAAAUUCAAUUUUGUGAAAAAAAGAAAGUUGAGACACCUUUGCUUCUGUUUAAGAAUUUGAUGUAGUUCAGUUCUGAAUUUAAUUGAAAUUUAGUAUAGUUAUCAGAUAUCGAAUAGUCUUGAUUUUUAAGACGAAUGAUUUUUAUUUACCAGUAUUACCUAGCUAGCUCAACUUAGAAGCUAUAUUUCAUUUAAUUAAUGGCACAUAUAAUAAUUAAUAAUAUAUCAUUUAUGUGGAUUAGUCAUCAGCCCCAAUAUCUUUUUAUGUUCAUACUUGUUCAUAUUUGUCACUAUGAGAAUAAUUCAAUACCUUUCUUACUGUUCUAUUUAUUUCUGUGAACCUAAAUUUAAGUUUUAUUUUGUUUAUAUGUGUAUAUAUAUAGAUAUGGAUUAAGCAUAUCCCUUAACUAUAUUAUCCAUAUAGAUUUGGAUGAUUCUUAAAUCUAACCAACUCAAUCAAGGGAAAAAACCUUGGAGUUUAAUUUCUUUAUCUCCUUUCAUUUCAUAUGGUAUUUUAUGCAUUUGGGAUUAAUACUAUAUAUAUAUAUAGACAUGAUGAUAUUAGGAAUCUUGUACAAUAAUUAACUUUACGAGAGAUUUCACUUUCAAGGAGUUAAAAAUAUCUGGUGUUAGUGGUAAGAUGAUAACAAAAGGAUCAUGUGGGGGUAUGUUAUGUGCAUCCUAGCUAUCUAAUUAAGCACCUUCAAACAAGAAACAAAGGACUCAAGAUUGAUGUCCAUGCAUACUCAAAAUAUGAAAAGAUAUAUAUAAAUAAAAAAGUUUUCUGUAGCUAUAUCUGAAAAGUGAACUUUGUGAAUAAUGUUUCAUAUGUUUGUGACAAGUAGGGUCUCUCAUAGAUUUCUUACUUUUACUCCCUUUUUCACUAACCUUUUCUUUUACUUUAUAUGAUUCAUGGGUAAUCGAUAAUAUUAACAACUUGUUAUAAUUGGGUUCCCCUCCAUUUUUCCCAUAAUAUUUUUUUUUCAUUUUGUGCGAGAGAAAUUAAAUAUCAAGUGGUUUUGCCAUUGAUUGGUGUGUGUAGAUGAGGUUGCAGGGUGGCACUAGUUUUUGUCCCUUACCUGCAUGGCUUUUUUCAUCAUCAACUGGCAGAGGAAGAUGGGUUUGGUUUUGUUUCAAGUAAUUCUACUGUUUGCCUUGACUAUGUAAUCUGAUUUCAUUUUUUCACUUACGGUCAAAUCAUUGGUAGCUGCUGGUUUACAUAUUUGUAUGGCUUCUGUUUCAUAAACGGGUAAAUGUACAGUGGCAGCCUGGAUUACAUUUCAAAAAUAGGUAAAUUAGGAGUAAAUUAAAUUUUUUUUGUUAAAAAUUUUAUCUACUUUUACUAUUAAAAACUAAUUCUUAUAUAUCAACAUGAGAUAUACGUGGCAGCCA